UAAAUACUCACUCCGUCCGGAAUUACUUGUCGCAUAAAUGGAUGUAUCUAGAACUAAAAAUACAUCAGAUACAUUCAUUUCUAUGACAAGUAAUUCCGGACGGAGGGAGUAUUUG
rfam:Triticum aestivum genome assembly, contig: Triticum_aestivum_CS42_TGACv1_scaffold_146674_2BS